CAUGUGUCCAACUAUCUAGGAUAGUUGGACGUAGGAACCUUCAAAACAUUGGAUGUGUGACAUGUCCAUGGGUACAAAUCUAUUUGCAUAUAUAUGGGAAUCUAUGCUAGUGAAUAAUUUGUUAGACAAUUUGCUUUGUAAUUCAAUAGAAUUCAUAAGGCCUUUGCCAAAUGUUCUUGAAAGCUUCUAGAUAUAAGUGCCUAAAGUUCAGAUACAGCUGUGAUGAUAUCUUUGUUUAUUCACAUGAUGUGUCAAAGAGUGUCAUAAACUGUCUAGGUGCCCAUGUGCCAGACACAUCAAAGGUCCACAUUUUGAAGUGUUCAGAUAACACCGGCAAUGACCAUCCUAAGAAUCUAUCAACAAUAAUACUUUAUAAUAUAUUUUGACAUGUGGAUGUAUAAGAUACUAUCUCAGUCAGUCUUUCCUUCGGAACUUUGAAGACUCAUUCAUAGUACUGAAAAUUCUCCUGCCCACUCUACCCUUGAAGUGGGUGAAAUUGAAAUUCCAAACUAGGCAUCAAGCACAACUCAACUUCCUUAUCCGAGCUCAAUCCACAUUUGUCAACUCAUGUGGAGCUUUUAUGUUUGUUAUAUUAGCGUAAAUCCACAUAAUAAUUAUUAAUUUUUUUUUUGUUCAAAGGAGAGAUUUAUUUCAGAAGAGAAGGAAAUCUUCUUUAUGAGUCCACAAUCUCGAAAAGCUCUAUGUCAAUCCUGAAGAGCCCCAAAUUAUUUAGUGUUUUUUGCAUAUUAGUCCCUGAAAUCUUUUAUCAUUGUAUAUAAACCUGUCUUUUUCAUAUUUAUAUAAAACUCCUUGUAAAGUUCUUCAUUUGUAUAAAAUGGUCCUUCUGCUAGUUUUUAUUGAUUGAAUCCUAUUUAAGGUUAACUAGGAUUGCAAAAGUACAAAAAUGCCCUUGGAUUAACAGCAAAUGAGGCUUGGGACUUGAUGUCUUCCUGCACACUUCGCCCUCUUCUCGCUCAGGGCUUGGCUGUUAUGGAACGGUGGAGGGGCAUGAGUUAUGAGGUUGCUGAAGUGUGAGGUUUAAAGGGUAAAAAUAUCCAGAAGAUAUGAAAUUAAUACUGUUAGGAGAGCUCAAGUGGAAUAUUCUCUUAUCAUUUGAUUAACUUAAUCUGAAGGAUGUAUAAGCAAUUAGUUGCAAGAUUUCGGGGAUUAAAAUACAAAUAAAGAGAGGUCAAGAGUUAAUAUGUAAAUGCAGAAUAUAUCAGAGACUAAUCUGCAAAAAUCCAAUUAUUUAAUACCAGCGAAGACUAAGAAAGCAUCAAUCAGUUCACCUUCUCACAUGUUAUGGAUUUCUGGGGGACCAUAAUCAGCUUAUCAUCCAUGAACUCUAGGUCAGUGUUUUAUUUCUGUUUAGUCUUUAGUCUUUACAUCAAAAAAUGUCCUGAAUUGCUUAGAACGAAAUAAAUAAUCAGAAAGAAGGGAUUGGUUUUGGAAGUGUUGGUAGAUAGCUGAGCAUGCAUGAGCACACUACUCUUGCCAUAAAACUUACUAUAUUUCGUACAAUCUGAUUUUAGCGGCUCCUUUUAUUUAAACUCUCACAGAACUUGAUUGUCUUCUCCUCAACUAGUUCUGCUCUGUACACACUUUUUUUCAUUGAUAUACUUAGUUCUAGACCUUUUUUGUGUCAAUGUGAGAUUUUCGCUUUAUUCUGACCACUUGCUUAUUGAUUAAAUGUGAAUGCUAGAAUCCAGUUCACUAUUGCUCGAGAAGGCCUCUUUCCUUAAUUAUGACAUUUUCCUUUGUAAAUCAUUUUUAUAUAGUUUUUAGCUGUUGUAAGUGCCCUUUUCUCUCUGUAAGCUGUUGCUUCGAAAGGUGAUAUAACUUUUUAUAUUUUCUCCACC
rnacentral:lncRNA from 1 species